rnacentral:rRNA from 1 species
UACGUAGGGUGCGAGCGUUGUCCGGAAUUACUGGGCGUAAAGCGUGCGUAGACGGUCAUGUAAGUCGGGUGUGAAAGCCCCGGGCUCAACCUGGGAAUUGCAUUCGAGACUGCAUGGCUAGGAUGCGGAAGAGGGAAGCGGAAUUUCCGGUGUAGCGGUGAAAUGCGUAGAUAUCGGAAGGAACACCAGUGGCGAAAGCGGCUUCCUGGUCCAGCAUCGACGUUCAGGCACGAAAGCGUGGGGAGCAAACAGG